GCUCCCUUAGCUCAGCUGGAUAGAGCAACGGAUUUCUAAUCCGUAGGUCGCAGGUUCGAGUCCUGCCGGGCGCACCA
rnacentral:tRNA from 1 species